GAUGAACGCUGGCGGCGUGCCUAAUACAUGCAAGUCGAGCGAACAGACGAUGAGCUUGCUCCUCUGACGUUAGCGGCGGACGGGUGAGUAACACGUGUAUAACCUACCUAUCAGACUGGGAUAACUUCGGGAAACCGGAGCUAAUACCGGAUAAUAUAUUGAACCGCAUGGUUCAAUAGUGAAAGACGGUUUUGCUGUCACUUAUAGAUGGAUCCGCGCCGCAUGAGCUAGUUGGUAAGGUAACGGCUUACCAAGGCAACGAUGCGUAGCCGACCUGAGAGGGUGGUAGGCCACACUGGAACUGAGACAGGGUCCAGACUCCUACGGGAGGCAGCAGUAGGGAAUCUUCCGCAAUGGGCGAAAGCUUGACGGAGCAACGCCGCGUGAGUGAUGAAGGUCUUCGGAUCGUAAAACUCUGCUAUUAGGGAAGAACAAAUGUGUAAGUAACUAUGCACGUCUUGACGGUACCUAAUCAGAAAGCCACGGCUAACUACGUG
rnacentral:rRNA from 1 species